CAAUAGCGUAUAUUAAAGUUGUUGCAGUUAAAAAGCUCGUAGUUGGAUUUCGGGGCAGCCUGGCUGGUCCGCCGCAAGGCGAGUACUGGUCAGCCGCCCUUCCUCUCGAAAGCCCCGACUGCUCUUCGUUGCAGUGGUCGGGUAGUUCGGGACGUUUACUUUGAAAAAAUUAGAGUGUUCAAGGCAGGCCUACGCCUGAAUACAUUAGCAUGGAAUAAUGGAAGAGGACCUCGGUCCUAUUUUGUUGGUUUCCAGGGCCGAAGUAAUGAUUAAGAGGGACAGUUGGGGGCAUUCGGAUUUAAUUGUCAGAGGUGAAAUUCUCGGAUUUAUGAAAGACGAACAACUGCGAAAGCAUUUGCCAAGGAUGUUUUCAUUAA
rnacentral:rRNA from 1 species